rnacentral:rRNA from 1 species
UGGGGAAUCUUCCGCAAUGGGCGAAAGCCUGACGGAGCAACGCCGCGUGAGUGAAGACGGCCUUCGGGUUGUAAAACUCUGUGAUUCGGGACGAAAGAUAAGCAGACGAAUAAUCUGCAUAAGUGACGGUACCGAAAAAGCAAGCCACGGCUAACUACGUGCCAGCAGCCGCGGUAAUACGUAGGUGGCAAGCGUUGUCCGGAAUUAUUGGGCGUAAAGCGCGCGCAGGCGGCUACUUAAGUCCAUCUUAAAAGUGCGGGGCUUAACCCCGUGAUGGGAUGGAAACUGAGAAGCUGGAGUGUCGGAGAGGAAAGUGGAAUUCCCAGUGUAGCGGUGAAAUGCGUAGAUAUUGGGAGGAACACCAGUAGCGAAGGCGGCUUUCUGGACUGCAACUGACACUGAGGCACGAAAGCGUGGGUAGCAAACAGG